rnacentral:tRNA from 1 species
GCGCUCGUAGCUCAACUGGAUAGAGCGUCAGCCUCCGGAGCUGAAGGUUUCGGGUUCGACUCCCGACGAGCGUA